rnacentral:lncRNA from 1 species
AUGAACUAUAACUAAUCCCUCCUUAAUAUUUUAUUACUGUUGUUUCUAUUUCUUAUUACCUUUACUUUAGAAUUGAGAAUGAUGAAGAGAUUAGUUUAACCAAUUCAAAGACCUGUACUGCUCUGCUUGCCAGGUCCCUUUCCCUUGCUGCAACUUUAGUUUCCAAGCAGUAAACAGUUGCAGACUGAGUAAUUGUAACCUGUCACCACCUUUUCUUUUCAUGUUUGCUUCCUGCAAUAAAGCAGAUUUAAUUCCAUUCAUUUAUUCAGUCUGACAGGUGGAUUGCAUCAGUACAGCAUGAGAAUGGGUAAAACAUCUUUUUGCUGGAAGCCUUGCAAUCUAGGUGAAGACGACUUUGGACUAUUCUGAAAACACAGAGAAGAGCAAGAAAUUUUGCUUUUCAUUAAGGGCUGGGCAGUGAGGAGACAUUUGGAGGAGGAGAUGGGCACAUCUGAACUGCAGAGACUGGCAAUGAAUAUCAAACCUGGAGCAAACUGAAGGCACAAGCUGAUCAAUGGAGACACUUAUGCCAAGCUCUUGUGAAAUUAUUUAGGUCUGGAGACAACCCAGUGUGUAGAGUUCCCUCCAGAACCAGUUCCCCCAGUUCACGAACAAAAGUCAUUCAGCAGAAUUCUACUUGUCUGUGGAUGCUAAAUGCAAAAAGCAAGCAGGGAACACAGAGCCUGUGUGAAACUGAAUCACACAAGCUUCUCACUCUGGC